UGUAUAUAUGGUUCUAUAGCACAACCACAACAUUGUGUCUCUGUCUCUAUUUUCUCCACCCCUUCUCACACUGCUACAGGCAGUCAGCUUUUCUCCUUUUUUAAAUUAAAUUAUAAGGUCAAAUUUGGAUAUACCUGGACCAGGGGCACCCGAGUUCUCCACACAACUGUUUAAGAGAUCCUGUGAAGGUUGUUAUGCAGUCAUCUUUUUGGUUUGUGCUCAGUUUGAUUUCCUUUUGUGGUCUGUGGCUUUGUUAGAUACAACUAUCACAUCAUGCACUGCUUUGAGAGCUGGUAUUCAAGAAGGGAAUACCUGAAUACCAAAAGCAUCCGCCUGACCAUCUUCCUCAUUGCUGGUUUUUGUGUGGGUUUUCCUAUGGGUAUCCUGUGUGGGUUCUGCUUUGGGCAUUCGGUGUUUUGUGCCGCCAUCAUAAGCACAGAGGUCGAAUCUCAUCCAUCGCCAUCUUCCUGCUCCUCAGUGACCUGCUGGAGCUGAUUCUGAUUCCAUUCCUUGUGGCAUACCUUUUCAAAGAAGACUCUAAACCAUGUGAACUUAUUUUUUCACUUUUGUUUGGAGCCAGGCUCUAUGGGAAUUUACUUCACCAGAUAGUGGCAGUAGAAAGCAUUUCCCAAAGAUAUCCAUCACUUGGUGAGGUUUUCUCCCCUUCUUGUUCCAUUAUCCUCUGCAUCGUGGUGUUUUUGCUACUAAUUGGAUGCAGGUUCAUAUAUUUAAUUGGAAAUGUAAUAAUUAUGCUGGUAUGUGUGUUGCCUAUAAUUGUGUGUGCAGUCACAUACUUGUUAACUUGGAAAGCACCUCAUGACCUCAACCAGGCCAUAGACAGGAAGCCAGGAGUGCUGGUGCUUACUGUUGCCAUGUUUACACUGAUCAUUUUAUACAUGCCAUUUUUCUUGACUGUUUGUACUGACCUUCCGUUUAUGUUGGACUCUCUAGCAAGUUUGAGAUUAAUCUCGGAUCCUCUCCUAUGUGUGCUCGUCUGCAGGGAGCUUGGUUCCAGUGUCCCACGCACACACAGAUCGAUUACAAUAAAUUAGCAGUUUUGAAUUAGCACACAACAGUGGGUUGUGCUUUGUGAUUUUGUUGUAUUUGCGGUCUGUAUAUCAUUAUUAAAGUCAUUUGAUUUACUUAACCCCAAAUACCAACUUUAGACAGCAGUUAGUAUAUACAUUUAUAUACAUAUUACUUAGUGAGUUUGAAGUAUAACAAUAAUAUAAAAAAAUAAUAAUAAUAACAACAAUAAUAGUAAUAAUAAUAAUAAUAAUAAUAAUAAUAAUAAUAAUGUAGUUUAUAAUGUAUAGAAAAGAUAGUACUGGUUUGCGUGUUUCGUGUGACUUUACUCAGUGUGGCUCUACCUGGUUUGUCUGUGGUUAAAAUGUAGACACACAUACAUUUAAUCCCUUCUUUGUGCACAUGCAGUUUAUUGAAAGUGUUUUUUUUUUUGCUUCAUUAAUAAUAGUGUGUCAUUUAUCUCCCAAGGGUGUUUUUCAGGCAGGCUUUGCCUUUGAGUUUAUUCAUUUGUUUAUUUUAAUUUUAAUAAAAAAAUUUU